GAUGAACGCUGGCGGCGUGCCUAAUACAUGCAAGUCGAGCGAACAGAUGAGGAGCUUGCUCCUCUGACGUUAGCGGCGGACGGGUGAGUAACACGUGGAUAACCUACCUAUAAGACUGGGAUAACUUCGGGAAACCGGAGCUAAUACCGGAUAAUAUAUUGAACCGCAUGGUUCAAUAGUGAAAGACGGUUUUGCUGUCACUUAUAGAUGGAUCCGCGCCGCAUUAGCUAGUUGGUAAGGUAACGGCUUACCAAGGCAACGAUGCGUAGCCGACCUGAGAGGGGGAUCGGCCACACUGGAACUGAGACCGGGUCCAGACUCCUACGGGAGGCAGCAGUAGGGAAUCUUCCGCAAUGGGCGAAAGCCUGACGGAGCAACGCCGCGUGAGUGAUGAAGGUCUUCGGAUCGUAAAACUCUGUUAUUAGGGAAGAACAAAUGUGUAAGUAACUAUGCACGUCUUGACGGUACCUAAUCAGAAAGCCACGGCUAACUACGUG
rnacentral:rRNA from 1 species